UACGGAGGAUCCGAGCGUUAUCCGGAUUUAUUGGGUUUAAAGGGAGCGUAGGCGGGUUGUUAAGUCAGUUGUGAAAGUUUGCGGCUCAACCGUAAAAUUGCAGUUGAUACUAGCAUCCUUGAGUACAGUAGAGGUAGGCGGAAUUCGUGGUGUAGCGGUGAAAUGCUUAGAUAUCACGAAGAACUCCGAUUGCGAAGGCAGCCUGCUGGACUGUAACUGACGCUGAUGCUCGAAAGUGUGGGUAUCAAACAGG
rnacentral:rRNA from 1 species